rnacentral:misc_RNA from 1 species
CGCCUCCCAAGACUCCAUUGGAUGGUGUUGUAGUAUAUGGAGUAGUGAUUGUUGGUGUGGCGUUGGAUGGGGUGGCGUUUGAAGGUGUGGUGGUAGAUGGAUUUGUGGUGACUGGAGUUGGAGUAGUUGUGCUAGUCCCUGCAGCACUGACGGUAGCCGGAUAAGAACAGCCACUAUAACUAGGAUCAGAUGUAGAAAUGGUAGUUGUGCCUGCAAAAUCACAAGAGCCUUGAGCUUGGCCCUUCUUUUGGAAAU